rnacentral:lncRNA from 1 species
AAUUUUAGAUUCACUUCAUUCAGUGAUCUAUGUUCAGUAUUUUUUUAAACUCUUAAUUUUAGAGAGGCAAUGCUCCCUUAACAAAUGGUUUCUGAAUAACAGCAUUAUUUAUAGCAACUGUAACACGAAUGGAAGAGUUUACUUUGAAUCCUUUCUUCCAUCCUGCUUUCCUGACUUGAUUUUGUUUGCUUUUCUUUUUUCCCUUCUAAGUUCCCAUAGUUUCUUCUUUUGCAUUUUGAUCUUCUUUUUCUUCUCUCAUUCUCCUCACCUGGGACCGCCAUAGCUUCGGUAUUCUUUCAAAGUGCCUAAGCAUGUCAGCAGAAGCAUCAUGGUAACAUGCCAUGAUCAAUUUUUGCUGCCUUCUUUAGAGGACUUCCUGGUUGUGAAGAUCUUGUUGAUCUAGCACACAGGAAAUUACACCAAUGACCUUGGAAAUUGAUGAUCUUGAACUUUUGACCCCUUCUUGCCCCAUGGGCAAAACUUCAAGGAUCUCCCUCUAUCACAGCAGCAAGGGACUUUGAAAGAGUUCCUUACUGAAACCAACAUAUACCUUAAUAGUGGACUUUAGUUCUGAGUGACUAUUGCUUGUUUGCUUAAGCAUCCACACAACUUAGGUUAAUGCUGCAAAUGAAGUGUGUUACUGGAACCAACAUAUACCUGUAACCUAAGUUGCAAAUGAAGAAGCUGCCGAUCAAAUCCUUCAAUAAUUAAAUGUGAAACCAAUUGAACCAUGAGGACUUCUGACUAAAAGUAAAACAAAACAUAUACCUUAUAGUGGACUUUAGUUCUGAGUGACUGUCGAAUAAAAAGUGGGGAGGAUUCCCACAGGAAUGGGGCAUAUAGUGCAUCUGACCACCCUUUUCCCUUUGUUAAAU